AUGAUCUGUGGUAAUAUGACUAAUGAUAUUAUUUUCACUGUGUGUUUACAUUUAAGGUGCUGUCACCUUAAGAUUACUUCAUCAGUGAGUAUAACAAAUAACUGGAUUCACUUCUUCUGGAUUCUCACUAUUGAUAUGCCUCUGGAAUUUCUGCGUGUUUUGGACAAAUCAAUGUUUCAGGUGGCGUUUGUCCAAAGUUGUCUGAAAAUAAAUACAGCAAUACGAGUUGGAUUUUCAUUCACUUCUUUUCAUUUGGAAAGAGCCUUGCCGCAUGUCCCCACGGUGGAUCCUCAUAAACUUCCCUCCAGACGAAGGCUGAGUCAUACGUGGAAGAAACACAAGGUGGAAGGAGGCUGA
rnacentral:lncRNA from 1 species